AUUGAACGCUGGCGGCAGGCCUAACACAUGCAAGUCGAGCGGAUGAAGGGAGCUUGCUCCUGGAUUCAGCGGCGGACGGGUGAGUAAUGCCUAGGAAUCUGCCUGGUAGUGGGGGAUAACGUCCGGAAACGGGCGCUAAUACCGCAUAGGUCCAGAGGGAGAAAGGGGGGGAUCUUCGGACCUCACGCUAUCAGAUGAGCCUAGGUCGGAUUAGCUAGUUGGUGGGGUAAAGGCCUACCAAGGCGACGAUCCGUAACUGGUCUGAGAGGGUGAUCAGUCACACUGGAACUGAGACACGGUCCAGACUCCUACGGGAGGCAGCAGUGGGGAAUAUUGGACAAUGGGCGAAAGCCUGAUCCAGCCAUGCCGCGUGUGUGAAGAAGGUCUUCGGAUUGUAAAGCACUUUUAGUUGGGAGGAAGGGCAGUAAGUUAAUCCCUUGCUGUUUUGACGUUACCAACAGAAUAAGCACCGGCUAACUUCGUG
rnacentral:rRNA from 1 species